rnacentral:rRNA from 1 species
CCUACGGGGGGCAGCAGUGAGGAAUAUUGGUCAAUGGACGCAAGUCUGAACCAGCCAAGUCGCGUGAGGGAAGACGGUCCUAUGGAUUGUAAACCUCUUUAGGCGGGGAGCAAUGCCGGGCACGCGUGCCCGGGGGGAGAGUACCCGCAGAAUAAGCAUCGGCUAACUCCGUGCCAGCAGCCGCGGUAAUACGUAGGAUGCGAGCGUUAUCCGGAUUUAUUGGGUUUAAAGGGUGCGUAGGCGGAUUUUUAAGUCAGCGGUAAAAUGUCCGGGCUCAACCCGGGCCGGCCGUUGAAACUGGGGAUCUUGAGUGGGCGAGAAGUAUGCGGAAUGCGUGGUGUAGCGGUGAAAUGCAUAGAUAUCACGCAGAACUCCGAUUGCGAAGGCAGCAUACCGGCGCCCGACUGACGCUGAGGCACGAAAGCGUGGGGAUCGAACAGGAUUAGAUACCCUUGUAGUC